rnacentral:lncRNA from 1 species
CAUAGAGAGCCGCGAGAGGAGAAUCGGUGAGUGGCAGAUUCCAGCCCGAGACCUUUGUGUGCGUGAUCCCUGCGCCGGGAAUUCUCAUGGGAAUCCUUCUUUUCCUCUUGUCUUCCCAGAGGAACUCACAGCGGAGCUCGAGGAAUACAAAGCCAAAGCACGAAGGUGCCUCCGGGAGCACAGUGAGUCCCUGUCCUGCCCCUGCAGCCCCCCCGGGCCCCCGGCGGCAGCGUGAGUCCUUUGUGUGUGUCCUUAGGGAAGGAAGAGGAGACGAGGGGUGAGUGGUGGCGGGAGCAGGAGGAUGCGCCCGGCGAGCACGGGGCUGCCCCCAAAGGCACCGAAAGCCCCGCUGGAUGUCCCCAGGGCACCAAAACCACCUCUAGAUGGCCAAGAGGGUGCCCAAAACCCCUUGUAGAUGGCCAAGAUGACCCCAAAACACACUGUAGAUACCCAAGAUUACACCAAAACACCCAUUAGAUGUCCAAGAUGAUGCCAAAACACCCAUUAGGUGUCCGAGAUGACCCCAAAACCCCCAUUAGAUGCCCAAGAGGACACCAAAACCCCCAUUAGAUGUCCAAGAGGGCACCAAAACCCCCAUUAGAUGUCCAAGAGGGCACCAAAACCCACAUUAGAUGCCCAAGAGGACACCAAAACCCACAUUAGAUGUCCAAGAGGACACCAAAACCCCCAUUAGCUGCCCCGGAAGACCCCAAAACCCCCAUUAGCUGCCCAAGAGGACUCCAAAACCCCCAUUAGCUGCCCAAGAGGACCCCAAAACCCCCAUUAGCUGCCCUGGAAGACCCCAAAAUCCCCAUUAGCUGCCCCAGAAGAUCUCAAAACUCCCAUUAGAUGCCCAAUAAGAUACCAAAACCCACUGUAGAUGUCGAAGAGGACCGCAAAACCCCCAUUAAAUGCCCAAUAAGACCCCAAAACCCCCAUUAGCUGCCCAAUAAGACACCAAAACCCACUGUAGAUGUCGAAGAGGACCCCAAACCCCCCAUUAGCUGCACCGGAAGACCCCAAAAUCCCCAUUAGCUGCCCUGGAAGACCCCAAAAUCCCCAUUAGCUGCCCCAGAAGAUCUCAAAACUCCCAUUAGAUGCCCAAUAAGACACCAAAACCCACUGUAGAUGUCAAAGAGGACCCCAAAACCCCCAUUAGAUGCCCCAGAAGACCCCAAAACCCCCCAUUAGCUGCCCCAGAAGACCCCAAACCCCCCAUUAGCUGCCCCAGAAGACCCCAAAACCCCCAUUAGCUGCCCUGGAAGACCCCAAAACCCUCAUUAGCUGCCCCAGAAGACCCCAAACCCCCAUUAGCUGCCCCAGAAGACCCCAAAACCCCCAUUAGCUGCCCCAGAAGACCCCAAACCCCCAUUAGCUGCCCCAGAAGAGCCCGGUCCCAGGCA